rnacentral:rRNA from 1 species
CGGUACUUGUACCAAUUGAGAUUUUAACACGAAGUGAGUGGCGAACGGGUGAGUAACACGUGGGUAACCUGCCCAGAAGUAGGGGAUAACACCUGGAAACAGAUGCUAAUACCGUAUAAUAGAGAAAACCGCAUGGUUUUCUUUUGAAAGAUGGCUCUGCUAUCACUUCUGGAUGGACCCGCGGCGCAUUAGCUAGUUGGUAAGGUAAAGGCUUACCAAGGCAGUGAUGCGUAGCCGACCUGAGAGGGUAAUCGGCCACAUUGGGACUGAGACACGGCCCAGACUCCUACGGGAGGCAGCAGUAGGGAAUCUUCCACAAUGGACGCAAGUCUGAUGGAGCAACGCCGCGUGAGUGAAGAAGGGUUUCGGCUCGUAAAGCUCUGUUGUUAAAGAAGAACGUGGGUGAGAGUAACUGUUCACCCAGUGACGGUAUUUAACCAGAAAGCCACGGCUAACUACGUGCCAGCAGCCGCGGUAAUACGUAGGUGGCAAGCGUUAUCCGGAUUUAUUGGGCGUAAAGCGAGCGCAGGCGGUCUUUUAAGUCUAAUGUGAAAGCCUUCGGCUCAACCGAAGAAGUGCAUUGGAAACUGGGAGACUUGAGUGCAGAAGAGGACAGUGGAACUCCAUGUGUAGCGGUG